GAUCCUGGCUGAGAUUGAACGCUGGCGGCAGGCUUAACACAUGCAAGUCGAGCGGAGAGAGGUAGCUUGCUACUGAUCUUAGCGGCGGACGGGUGAGUAAUGCUUAGGAAUCUGCCUAUUAGUGGGGGACAACAUUUCGAAAGGAAUGCUAAUACCGCAUACGUCCUACGGGAGAAAGCAGGGGAUCUUCGGACCUUGCGCUAAUAGAUGAGCCUAAGUCGGAUUAGCUAGUUGGUGGGGUAAAGGCCUACCAAGGCGACGAUCUGUAGCGGGUCUGAGAGGAUGAUCCGCCACACUGGGACUGAGACACGGCCCAGACUCCUACGGGAGGCAGCAGUGGGGAAUAUUGGACAAUGGGCGCAAGCCUGAUCCAGCCAUGCCGCGUGUGUGAAGAAGGCCUUAUGGUUGUAAAGCACUUUAAGCGAGGAGGAGGCUACUUUAGUUAAUACCUAGAGAUAGUGGACGUUACUCGCANAAUANGCACCGGCUAACUCUGUGCCAGCAGCCGCGGUAAUACAGAGGGUGCAAGCGUUAAUCGGAUUUACUGGGCGUAAAGCGCGCGUAGGCGGCUAAUUAAGUCAAAUGUGAA
rnacentral:rRNA from 1 species